GGCACAAGGCCACACCUCCUCGUCAAAGCCUGAUCCUGUCAAAUGUCAGAGGCUAACCAGGCCCGGUCUGAUUAGUAUUUGGAUGGGAGACCGCUGGGAAUACCAGGCGCCAGUGUCC
rnacentral:rRNA from 1 species